AAUUAAAAGGUUAGCUGACUUCUACUAGGGUUUGUUAGACUCAGUACAGCAGUGUAUAAUACUGAGCUAUAUGGUCUCAGCUUUCACCUUUUUCAAUGACUAAUUCCUUCAUAUGUAUGAUUAAGCAGUACAAUGGGUUUUACAAACUAAAUUGUUCAAGUUUUGCAAACCUGUUGCAGAUUUAAAUUGAUAUAACUUGUGUUGUGAUCAAAAGAUGCAUCCCAUUGUUCAUUGUUUCAAGGGCACGAUGCAUGGGAGUUAUCUCCCUUGAACAGCUGCAUCCAUGAUUUGCCUCACCUUCAUCUCUCCAUGUUUGUGUUUAUUUAAUCAGAUCCUUCAUGACUGAAUGUCAGCCUUCUUUCUACUUUAGUUACCUUUGAUAUGGAAGAAAACAAUAUGUUUUCCAAAUUUUUUAUCAAUCAUGUAAAUAUAUACAUUGUUAUUUAUGUGAAUGUGUUUGUUUAUGAUAUCACUCAUUUCAUGUAGUUGUGUUACCAUAGUUACGGACCUCUGUAGCUUCGUUGUAAGUGUUUGUUUGCAGGUUAUAAUUCUUUCUUGAUAUGCAUAAUAUACAUACUGCUAUUUAUUUCCUGAAGUAAUUUCAUAAAUAUGUCUACACAGUACAAGUAGAUUAAUAUUUGAGUUUGUUUAGUAGUUUUUCUCAUGUUAGGUGGGAUUUUGUAUGGUCCCCAAAGUAACUUAAAUGUUUGAAGUGUUUUUCAUAGAAUUGUGUUUUACCCAGUUACCUUAUCCUGUCAGAGGUUGACUGGGGCUAGUUCGAGCAGAAAAUGAAAAGAGAAUUUCUUUGACCCUAUGCCGUAGUAUGGCUUGCACAAACAGAUUGAUGGGCUGUUAGUUUGCCUGCUCAAAUUUGUCCCAUCUCAUUUGUGUAUUUGUGUAUUAAAAAUGUUCCACAUUGUUUCCUACUGGUAUCUACAGACUAGUCUGUGCAGAGUUCCCUCCCUUAGAUCUCAGGAUCUGCUGUCAAGUGUUCAAAUCUUGACCGAAAUAAUUAGCAUUAGUUGGCUCUAGGUGUUUCCCACUGGUAUCUACAGGACUCUGUGCAGAGUUCCCUCCCUUAGAUCUCAGGAUCUGCUGUCAAGUGUUCAAAUCUUGACCGAAAUAAUUAGCAUUAGUUGGCUCUAGGUGUUUCCCACUGGUAUCUACAGGACUCUGAGCAGAGUUCCCUCCCUUAGAUCUCAGGAUCUGCUGUCAAGUGUUCAAAUCUUGACCGAAAUAAUUAGCAUUAGCAUUUGCUGGCGUGUCGUAGGUUUUACCAGUAGUCCUGUAUGAUGUCAACUGACUGUGAUAUAACUGAAACACUGUUUAAAACGGCAUUAAACCAAACUCACUCCAAAUGGUAAAUGAUGCCUUAAGUCCUUAGUGAGUUUAAUGAUGUUAUAUUUGUUUGUCUUGCGUAGCAGCUGAAGUUUGAAGGAUGAAAACAUUAGUAUGACUGUUUAAGUUUGCAAGACAAACAGUAUGAGUCGUAUUUGCAUUGAUUGAAUUUGUAGAUAGUGUAAAUAUGGCUUGUUAUGAAUUGAUCUUAAUUUUCAAUCUGUACAUGGUGUAUUGUACUAAAUGUUGCUGAAGCAGUUUCAAAUGAAUAAAUAUAUGGGUACAUGCUU
rnacentral:lncRNA from 1 species